rnacentral:rRNA from 1 species
AUGUUCAAGCUUGCUCUUGCUACACCGCUCGCUCUCGGAGCAGGAGGGCUACCUCAACUCCGCCGACCAGGCGUUCCUCCUUCCCCGUCAGCUCGAGGGACAGGGCACGGGGCGAGGGAGCGGGGCAUGGGGCGGCUCGACGUCGGGCUCCGGCUGCAGGAUGUCUCCUUGAGCUUUUCAUCGCCUCCUUCCCCGUCGACGCUCGCGCUCCUCCGCCGGGCUCGCGCCGAGGAGGUCGUCGACGCCGCGCGGGCAAGAUGCUCGACGAAAUGA